GUGCUCGCUUUGGCAGCACAUGUAUUAAAAUUGGAACGAUACAAAGAACUUUAGCAUGGCCCCUGUGCAAGGAUGACACGCAAAUUCGUGACACAUUAAUAGUCUCA
ensembl:snRNA U6 U6 spliceosomal RNA